AUAGUGAAAAAGGAAGUACGGCAGUAAUCAUAACUAAGAAGACUCUUAAAGUGGAGUAUGAGGGAAAAUAAGAUUAAAAAAAACUUGCUAUCAGUGCAGGUGGCUUAAAGUAUUAAAAGUGCAUUAAAAAAUUCCCUCGGUGUCUCUUAAAGUUUUCCGGGGCGGCAGCGGGUCGGGGUCAACAGUUUUUAAGGGUGUCAUGUUCGUUUCAGGCUGGACCCGCCGCGCCCCUCACCCUGAUCCCUCCUCCGCCGUGGAGAAGUCCCCAGGCGGGCAGGAGAGUCCUCUUGCCUCCAGGUGUGUGACCUCCAACGAUGGCGGCCGUGCAGGUCUUUCUUCAGGUUAAGGUAAGUGUUUUGAAGACCAUCGCGUCGUGGGACACCGCUGGAGCAACCCAUUUAUCAAGGUAGCUGCUGGAUGUAUUUUCGUUCCGCACUAAUCUAUUUUUGCCUUUCAGGACAUACUUAGCAUCCUUUUCAUCUUAGUUAUCGAGGUCUUAUGUUUCCUACUAAUGUGUUUUGCCUUUCAGGACACACUAAUAAAUCAGUCUCUUAGCCCUGCAGCUGUGCCGUUCAGGAUGCUUGAUGAAGAGGCGCCAGAAGAAACUAUCAUCAUCAUUUUCUUUUCAUUUUAGUUAUCCUCUCCACAGACAGUUUUCUAUCUUUCUACAUAUAUAUUUUUUUCCCCUUGUCAUCUGUCCUCUAGCACAUCUCGCAGUUAUUUCUUCCCUUUUAUGGUUCUGCAGUUUUCUUUCUCCAGUAUGCUUUCCUCCCAUCACAGUCUCACAUUUACGUUUUUGUUCUGUUUUCUAUCCUUUUUUUUCUCUUUCCUAUAUCCAUCAGUUACAUCAUCUUCCCCACAUGCCCUCCUUUCACCCCUCUCCCUCUCCCUCCACGCUAUCAGUAAUCACUCCCUUCCCUCGUUCUUCCUCCCACCCUUGUCCUGCCCCACUCUUUCAUCCUCCUUUAUGUCCACACGUACACUCUUUUGACUCCCUUCCCGGCGGUGGGGAUCACAAGAAUUUACCACACACACACACACACACACACACACACACACACACACACACACACACACACACACACCUUUUUUAAGCUUCGCCGGAGCCUCCCUUUCGCUACAAAACAUAAAAGCAGUCUCCGCCCUUUCCCUUCACUACAAUCUCCACCACCACACCACUACCACCACCACCACCACUGUCACAAUUAUCAUCACCACCACCACUACCAUCACCACUCUCGCCGCUGCCACCACCACCAUUACCACCACCACCACUACCGGCACUACCUCAGCAAAAACCACCGCAAAGCAAAAAUUAUUAAUUAGCCACCUCCGCCCGCAUUCUGAGAAACGAAAGCCUUCAUAAACACAAGAACAGAAGAAACGUGUAUGUGGGAUACCUUCGUCAUGACAUCAAUGUGGCGUGACAUGUAAACAGACCCCCUUCCCCCCACGCCCCGAGCCACACACCCCGCCCCGAGGCCCCAGGUAACCCGUGCGGCUCAUUAUUAAAGCCUACCUGGGGGCUCACCGACCACCCGCCGCCCGACGCACCUACUUCGUCA